UGGGGAUGUAGCUCAAAUGGUAGAGCGCUUGCUUUGCAUGCAAGAGGUUCAGGGUUUGAUCCCCGCAUCUCCAA
rnacentral:tRNA from 1 species